UCGGUGAACUUCAAUAAACAUCAUGCCAUUAAUUUUAUUUACCUUUAUGUCUCCGUGUUACCCAGCACUUAUCAUCAGGGUAUUUGUUGAAUCACAGGCUAUGCCAACAACUUCUCCAUCAUGAGCAGAUCUUCCUCUUGAUGAUAUGUCCACAUAACUGCCUCAACUUAUGCCUGAUUGAAUCGCUCAAUCCAGUCAGCUGUUGUCCCCAAAACAGCGAAAUUGCCACAUGCACUAAUGGUGCAGGCCUAUCAUGAUAUACAAAGUAUAUUAUCAAUUGCAUAAUUCAAAUGUAACACAGAGAAAUUAUGAACUAGGAAAAUAAUGUGCCUCAAGGUUCCAAACCCAGGGUACGGACUUGGGCCAUGAGGCCCAAGAAAUGGAUAGAAAGCAUAGCAAGUUGCUUUCCUCAUUGGUGACAAUAUUUGUGAUGAUCAUAUCCCAAAAACAGCAAGUAUUUCCUCCUUGAUUUGCCUUGGAAUGAAAUAUAAAGGUACAGUGCAACCCUUGAAAUCAUUCUACUAAAGCAAUGCGAGUGUGUGCCAUUCUAUAUGACUGAAUAGACUGAGCUAUUACCUCAUACCCUCAUAAAAUCUUAAGACAUGAAUGUCACUUCAAUAUAUUACAAAAUGUCACCUUCUAAUCCCAGGUUCUAUUACCUUUAUAUCUUCAGUACAUACAAAUAAUGAUUAUUACAUCAUUUAUUUAGUACAACAAUACAUUUGUGACUUAUACGUCACAACAAAUAUAAAUAAAAUUAACAUGUAAUCUGCUAAUCAAAUACUUGAUCUCUUCCUUAAUCUUCACCGGAUUCUACAGUUCGUUUUAGCUUUGCUGAAAAUGUUUUAUUUAAAACAAGAGUGAGCAUUCAAUUGCUCAACAAGUAUAACAGUUGAAUAAUCAAUCAACACAUAAUGAAUAUUGACAUAUUCUCUAAAAUUUCAACAACUGAACAAUAGUUGAAAACAACUUUGAAUAAAUAGGAACAACUUCCUCAAAUAUAACGCUUUUGAAACGACAUAUUGACCCAUCCUCAAGACCUUAACAUUUCUCUCCGUUCUUCCUUAAAUCUGACAUCUCCUGUGUCUACUUCAUUAUUAUGGCACAACCUGUGUCUACUCCACAAUUAUAACACAACAUGUGUCUAGUUCAU
rnacentral:lncRNA from 1 species